UACGUAGGAGGCAAGCGUUGUCCGGAAUUACUGGGUGUAAAGCGCGUGUAGGUGGCAGGCCAAGUCUGCGGUGAAAUCGCCCGGCUCAACUGGGCGGGGUCCGUGGAAACUGGUCAGCUGGAGGACGGUAGAGGCGAGUGGAAUUCCCGGUGUAGUGGUGAAAUGCGUAGAGAUCGGGAGGAACACCAGUGGCGAAGGCGGCUCGCUGGGCCGGUCCUGACACUGAGGCGCGAAGGCGUGGGGAGCGAACGGG
rnacentral:rRNA from 1 species